ensembl:ncRNA W04D12.2 ncRNA
GACGACGACAUUUUCAGACUUGUUUCUUUCGGAAAGAUAAGCUACAGAAGCCAUUUGAUGCUCUAUGUUCAUUGAAGCGACACCACCUGUGGCGUCUUCUCCAAUGAUGCUGAU